rnacentral:tRNA from 1 species
GCCUGGGUGGCUCAGUUGGUUAAGCAUCUGACUGCAGCUCAGGUCAUGAUCUCAUGGAUUGUGAGUUCCAGCCCUGCCUUAGGUG